CGGAACACAUGAAUAAAAGGCUGCGGUGAAAUAUUGCCAUCAAUAGUAUGCUGACAUCGUGAGCGAUAUACUUGCAUUACACAAGUCUUGCAGGCUGCCGUCAAAAUCUCCCCAGUCGCCUAGCCUCCUUUGCAUUUGGCGCCUGGAUAACUAAUGUCAGGUCAAUUGCCAUAUCAACCUAAGCCGACUCGACAUCACAUGAAUUAAGCUCGAAACCUCAAAUGCUGCUGGUGUUUUCAGUGACACCCUCCUAUCUAAAAAGGGUUCCCUUCGGUACUUGAACAGGCUGAUCAUUCUUUACGCUUCUGCAGGGAGAACGUGCUGCCAUGGCCUGUUUGCGUGCUGGGUGGCAUCGCGCUCGUCACAGAAGGCAGGCCGAACGUAUCGGCCUCUUCUUGCGGUCCUGCUUC
rnacentral:lncRNA from 1 species